rnacentral:rRNA from 1 species
GACGAACGCUGGCGGCGUGCUUAACACAUGCAAGUCGAACGGAAAGGCCCUGCUUGCAGAGUACUCGAGUGGCGAACGGGUGAGUAACACGUGGGUGAUCUGCCCUGCACUUCGGGAUAAGCUUGGGAAACUGGGUCUAAUACCGGAUAGGACCGCACUUUAGUGUGUGUGGUGGAAAGUUUUUUCGGUGUAGGAUGAGCUCGCGGCCUAUCAGCUUGUUGGUGGGGUAAUGGCCUACCAAGGCGGCGACGGGUAGCCGGCCUGAGAGGGUGUACGGCCACAUUGGGACUGAGAUACGGCCCAGACUCCUACGGGAGGCAGCAGUGGGGAAUAUUGCACAAUGGGCGCAAGCCUGAUGCAGCGACGCCGCGUGGGGGAUGAAAGCCUUCGGGUUGUAAACUCCUUUCGCUAGGGACGAAGCUUUUUGUGACGGUACCUAGAUAAGAAGCACCGGCUAACUACGUG